GCAGACCAAGCUGCGGGAGCUGCAGCUGCAAUACCAGGCUAGCAUGGAUGAGCAGGGGCGGCUUCUGGUAGUGCAGGAGCAGCUGGAGGGGCAGCUGCAGUGCUGCCAGGAGGAGCUCCGCCAGCUCAGGGAGAAGAGGUCCUCUGUUGUCAAAGAAGCCCGGGGGAAGAAUGCUAAUAAGAACAUGAACAAGAAUGCCAAUGGGGUUAAAAUGAAAAAGGUGACCAAGCCAUGCUCGGAUACUUCUGAGAGCGACCUUGAGACCAGAAAGAAGAUCAGGAGGAAAAUGAGGACAAAGAGGAAGAGGAGAAGGAAGAAGACAGUGAAGAGGAGGAAGAUGACGUCGACUCUUCCCUUGAAAGUCCCGAAGAAAAUAACCCCCUCAGACUUUCCGAGAGCAAAAAGAACAUGUUUGGGUUGUGGAAGCCUAUGGUAUUCUUGGCUAUUGCAGCUGUGGCUCUGUAUGUGUUACCCAACAUGCGACAGCAGGAG
rnacentral:sRNA from 1 species